rnacentral:lncRNA from 1 species
CUGGUCAACUACAUUACUAGAGAAGUUUUGCAAACUGAUCCUGUUGAAGCAAGAAAAACUAAAAAACAAGUUCUAUGGUAUAUUUUUUAAGGUAAACAAUUAUAUAAAAGAUCAUAUUCACUCCCUCUACUCCAGUGUUACGACCAUUAGAAGCUAACUAUGUCCUUCGAGAAGCCCACAAAGAAAUCUAUAAUAAUCACUGGG